ACACUCCUACGGGAGGCAGCAGUGGGGAAUUUUGGACAAUGGGCGAAAGCCUGAUCCAGCAAUGCCGCGUGAGUGAAGAAGGCCUUCGGGUUGUAAAGCUCUUUUGUCAGGGAAGAAACGGUGAAAGCUAAUAUCUUUUGCUAAUGACGGUACCUGAAGAAUAAGCACCGGCUAACUACGUGCCAGCAGCCGCGGUAAUACGUAGGGUGCAAGCGUUAAUCGGAAUUACUGGGCGUAAAGCGUGCGCAGGCGGUUUUGUAAGUCUGAUGUGAAAUCCCCGGGCUCAACCUGGGAAUUGCAUUGGAGACUGCAAGGCUAGAAUCUGGCAGAGGGGGGUAGAAUUCCACGUGUAGCAGUGAAAUGCGUAGAUAUGUGGAGGAACACCGAUGGCGAAGGCAGCCCCCUGGACCUGUACUGACGCUCAUGCACGAAAGCGUGGGGAGCAAACAGGAUUAGAUACCCGUGUAGUCCCAU
rnacentral:rRNA from 1 species